rnacentral:lncRNA from 1 species
GGACAAGAGAAGGGGCACUAAAAAACUUUAUAACAGAAUGAUUUACCUAAUUGCAUUCCAGGGAAGUUUGAAUAACUAUAUCACAACUUCAAGAAAUAUUCUCCUCAGAUAGAAAGAAGGCACCUGUCCCAGGAAACAUAAUAAACUGGUGCUAUUUCAUCCUGACUCAACCAUCAGCUUGGGUAUGCAAUGUGUCAUCUUAGCAGCUUUUAAAUAAGAACAAAAUUGGCACUGAAAUCCAACUUAUUUCUCUUCUACCCAGGCACUACCUAGAGUCCAUUGAAAAUUGGACUUCACGGUCAACUUGCUCCUUGCUAACAACUGAACAAGCAAUUGAGGCAUUUGGCAGGCCAUGAGUGAGAGCCAAAGGUCAUUUUGAGAGGCUACGUUCAGCCCUACAAUAAAUUUUAGGUUAGCCACGUCAAGAAAGCGGUGAGGCUACAUCAUCACACUUCUGUUUGAUAUGCUGUGGUUCCACUUUUAGGCAACAAUAAUGCCCUAAGUAAAGAGCCAACCUACAUGGUCAGAAAGAAAGGGAAUGCCUUAAGUAACACAACGUAUAACUAACUCCUCGCUUCCUGGAUGGAAUUUAAAAUAGAGACUCCUGCUUUUUAACAGCAAACCACGGAGUGAUCAACAGUUGGGGUUGGCCAACUGAGACACAUUAUCCCAUCUGAAGGCAUCCGGGACCAGGUAUCCCUCAGUCAACUGUCAGCCAGCUUCUAGGAGGAGAGCCAACAGGUUGACAUGUACUGGCCAGAGCCCUGUGGCAACCCCGACCAGACCAACAGAACCAGGCAGCAGCACUCACCCUGACUCAAAGUAUGGCAAGCUAAAUAGUCACGGUCACUGCCGUAUCACCAGCAGAUGGGGAAGAAACAGCACAGGCUGGUACCUGGGUCAUGUAAUACUGAGUGCAAAUAAAAAGGUUCCCAGUAUUGUUCUCAGUGGUCGACCUUAGGUAACGUCAUAAACAGAAAAGACUUCAGCAGGUUCACAGUUGAUUGAAGCCGUACCUACCGAAUGAUCUCAAUGACGAAGACGGACAAUUCCAACUAUUGGUGAAGAAGGGACAAGUGGAAUUUUCACACAUUGCUGAGAGUACACCAUUGGGCAACCUCUUUGUAAAACUUGCUGAAUCCUUAUAUACAAGGUCAAAUAUUUAACACUUAUAUUUUAAUAUAAUAUAAAUAUUAUAUUAUAUUAUAUUAAAUAUUAUAAAUAUUUAAAAAUUGGUAGUUUCUUAUGAUGCUAAAUGCAUAUCAAUCCUACAACUAAACCAGUCGAAUAAUGCAAAAACAAUAUGUCCAUGUGAAGAUAUGUACAUAAUUGUUUCUAGCACGUCUAUGUGUAAUAGCCCAAACCUGGAAAACAGCCCAGAUGUCCAACAUCUAGAGAAUAAACAACUGCCUAUAUUUGGUCA